UCAGCCAAUCAGGGAGCAGGAAAGAAUGAGGAGACAUAAUAUUAAUAUUUAUAUUAUAUUAAUUAACAUUAAUAUUAUAUAUAACAUAAAAUGUCUGUUAAAAUAACUCUUAGAUGAUUUAGAACUGGAGGAAGGAGGUCGGAGCCAGCUCAAAGUUAACACUUAAGUUAACUUCAAGUUUAAUCUUGUACAAGAGGCGCAAUCAUAGAGCAACAACACAGGUUUGUUACAGAGGAAAGGCUCAGAUAGCGAGGAGUCUGCAUGCAAAGAGGAAGUCACGUAAACACAGAAAGUUCAGACAGUGAGAAUACCACAUGUGAAAGUUCAGAGAGGGGUGAGUACUCACUUCUUUAAACUAGGGUAGAAAAACAAGUUGUAUUAAGAGGUGCAACACCUCAAAUCAAAUGUCCCUAUAUGUACAAAACUUCCAUCACAAUGUCGUUUUCAUCUUGUGAGUCUAUAAACUCCAGAAGUAAAGAUCUGAUGGUGAAAGUGAAGCAUGAUAUUAUAUAUUAUCACAUCCAGACCUCAAUACAGAAGAUUAGCAAUUGAGCAAACAUACUUAUGUAGCCAAGUGGAUAGGGGUUACUGUGUUUCUUUGUAUGUGCUGUGCCUAAUGGGAUGUGUAGUUUCACUUUCGGGCCAGCCUGGUGGGAAAUCUCGCGAGAAUGACGAAAUCACAUGAGACUUCAUGCGCGCGAACAGCAGUCUCCUCAGCGCGGGCAAUGGCGAAGUGUGUAUUCCUUGCGUGUAUGAAGAGAAACGGAUAAAUCCGGUAACACAGAGAGAAUACUUGUUGCAGUUAAAGAAUUAGAGUGAGACCGAGCUGACAGACUGACGUUGGUGACCAGAAACUUCACGUUUAUUUGUCGUCGGUAAAGAGCGUGUUUACAUUGUGUCCGCUGCACCGGAAUAAAACUAGAGAACCACGGGUCAGCAGGGGAGAUAGAGAGCUGUGUGUGUUACAUCCGGGAGAGGGGUGAGGCUCUCAAGCUACAAGCUAGGAAAAGAAAAUACAGCCACUGCUGUUGUCUGUUUUGUACUGACAGUUAUAAAUUAAGUCAGAAGUCAGAAAGGAAAAAGAAACAGGAUUUUAUUUCUACUUUUAUUAUUUGAUUGUUAUAAACAUCUGUCUCAAAAUUAGCAAAUUCAUGCUGUCCUUGUUUGAGGUCAGUCGGGGUAUUAAAGAUCCUCUAAAAUAUAUUUCAGUGUGUCCGAUCUUAUCCUUUAUGAUCCGGCUACACUUAGUUACAUUCCCUCAGUGAAAUGAGGAAGCUUGCCUGAGAAGUAUGAUCGAGAGCGUCACGUGCACCUCUGAUCACAUGUUGCUCCUCCUGAACCACAGACAGAGUCCAGUUCUCAGCACCGUGUCGUGGAUCAGUGACUAAAGACUGUGAGAUGAUGGAACUCACAUCUUUGUGAUGAUAAAUAUAUCAGUGCACUGACUUAAUGAGCAGCACUCACAUUCUAAUAACUCUGGUUCUGAUCAUCAGUUCUGGUUGCAUUUCUUCUUCUUCUCUGUUUGUGCUUGUGUUGCGAGGCUGCUAUGGAAGCUCCAUAUGGUGAGGAAACGUCUUUAUCUGCCAGCAGAGAUAAGAUGUUGCUGUUCUAGCAGCGUUAGAUAACAGGAAGUUCAGCCCGUCCCUGAACUCUGUCGUCAGCUCCACCAACAUGCUUCCAUCUGUCUGUCUGUCUGUCUGUCUGUCCAACACUCAGCACACUAAACCAGCGGUAUUCAACUAAAAUUUGCACAAUUAGAGAAGUCCUGAAGUGAAGAUCCGGGACAUCAUAAUGCGUAACUUGUGUUGUGAUAUACAGUUUAUUAGCCUCAUUGUUGUAUCAACAUCUCCAUGUAAUCAACAACUGACUGAAAAAUCCAAUAAAGAAUUCACAAUUCAAAAACAUUUUGACAGUAUUUAUCGUCACUUAACAGGGCUGUGCAAAACGUCCGGGGCUUUAGCCCCUCAGACAGUGUUGCCUCAAUUACCUUGAAAAAGUAAUCUGAUCACUGAUUACUCCUUUAAAAUGUACAGUGUAGUAACGCACAGUGACUUGAAUAGCGCUGUCCCCAUCUCCUCCAGAUAUAUGGUUAUAAAUCUUGUUAACUGCCCUUCAAACAUUGUGUCCAUCACUUCAGUCACGCGUUCUUUUAUUGUUUCUGCAUCUGAGAAUGGCUUCUUGUGCUUACCCAAAAUCCACAGCAC